CUUAUUGUACUUUUUUAAAAAUUUUUUGGUGCCAGGGAUUAAACCCAGGAAUGCUUAAUUACUGAGCUACAUCCCUAUCCCUUUUUUCGUUUUUUUAGAUGGGCACAACACAAUGCCUUUAUUUUUUAUUUGUUGAGGAUCAAACCCGGGUCCCGCCUGUGCUAGGCCAGCCACAAUCUCAGCCCCCCAUCCCUUUUUAAAACUUUUUUUAAAAUUUUGAGUCAGAGUCUUGCUAAGUUGCUGAGGCUAGCUUUGAACUUGAGAUCCUCCUGCCUCAGCAUUCUGAGCUGCUAGGAUUACAGGUGUACACCAACAUGCCUGGCUUUAUUGGACUUUUACACAAUUUAUUAUAAAUAUGGUAACUGAGGCAUAGAACAUGGGCCCUUGCCCAAGUUCUCACAAUUAAGAAAUAGUGAAACUGAGAGGCAAACCAAAGUUCUUAACUAUUACACUAAGUUGAAAAAUAUAAUUGAGAUAAUGUAUGCAAAUUAAUUAUACUAUCUUCCACUUUCUGAUCACUUAGUAUAUGUCAGGCAUUCAUAUACAAUGUGUUGAUUAUUCGUUCUUUACAAUAGCCCUAGGAAAUAGGUGCUAUUAUUAUUUCCAUUUUGUAGAUGGAGAAACUGAGGCACAGAAAUUAAAUCAUUUGUCCAAAGUUCUCUACCUCGUAAACAUCAAAACUGAGAUGUCUCUGGACCAUGCUCUUAAUGCUAUGUAUUAAAGGCCUGGGUUUCAUAAAUUAUCAUGACUAUUGUUCCUCAGCAGGUAGGACACAAAGUCUGUGUCAUGGAGCUAGGAAUGGAAAGAGGUGAGAGAACAAUGCAGAAAAUCCACUCAGGCAGUGACAACCUGAAAGACAGAGCUUGCCUGGACACUGGAAUGGGGCAAAUAAUACUUGUAUGCAGGAGGGGGCAUACUAAAGCUGUGUGGCCCAGGAGAUAGUGGUUAAGAAGGUCAUAUUAUCACAGAGAACUCACAGGAUCUGCCAAGGAAAUAAAUGUGAGAGAUAAGGAACAAGAGAAGGUCAGGACCACAGCCAGAGCUGAAUGGCCAAAGCCGCCAUUGCUGAGAUGGGAAGGUCGUGUGCAAUUGGAGCAGCUGCAGUAGGCAGUUAGAUAAAUGAAUCAAAAAUUCCCAGAUAGUGAGGCACCAUGUUGCACGCCUGUAAUUCCAUUUAUUAGGGAGUCAGAGUCAGGAGGACUGUAAGUUUGAUGCCAACCUGGGCAACUUAGCAAGAUCCUGUCCCCAAAUAAAAAUUUAAAAAGAAUGGGGAUUGGGCUAGGGUUGUAGCUCAGUGGUAGAACACUUGCCUAGCAUGUAUGAGGCACUGG
rnacentral:lncRNA from 1 species